rnacentral:tRNA from 3 species
GGGCUUGUAGCUCAGGUGGUUAGAGCGCACGCCUGAUAAGCGUGAGGUCGGAGGUUCAAGUCCCCCCAGGCCCACCA